AGCAAUCUUUCCUGUUUACACAGAGCUUGGCAGCCUCCAGGAUGAGUUUUCUAAUAGAGAUAUCUCUCUCCUAGCCUGGCUGAGCUGGAGACCCUCCAUAGGUGCCUGCCCAUUCAACACUAUGAAAACUUCCACCUGCUGAUAAAGAAAGAAGCAGACAUCAAUGGAAAGACAGCAUCCUGCUCCCACUGUCUCUUCAAGCUCUUCCAGGCUGGAUAAAGCUCAGGCCUGACUACUCUGCCAGAAAAAAAGAAGACAUCCAGAGAUGUGGACAUGGCUGGAGAGAGAUCCUCCAGGAAGUGGUAUCAAGUCUGUGUGUCUCUUUGAGAGCACCACCUCCAGAAAGAGCAGCUCAAUCAGUUUUCUGGACUCUGACCCACCAAAUAAUCAUGACUUUCUCUGUGUGUUUGUGUGUGGCAGGGUAAGUGGGUGGGGCAGAUUUAAUGCCUUCCAUCCUCGAUGGGGAGACAGGAGCUGCAGAGGCACCCAGAAGUUACUGACACUCCCCGUUGUCUCCUCCCCAAUCAAUGCUUCUUCAUCAUCUUCUGCCCCAGUUUUGUCUUUCUGGUGGAAUGUGGUGGUCUCUCCUUUUACUCUAUUCUGAAUUUGCUGUCAGAAUGGUUUUCCUGAAGCACAACUUUGAUUACCUCACUAAAUGCUCAAAAAUACUCCAUGGCUCUCACUGGAGCAGUGGCAGGCAGUCUGGCCCUCCUGUUUUUGUAAAUAAAACUUUAUAGGAAUACAGCCACACUCAUUCAUGUACAUAUUAGCAAUGGUGCUCUCAUGCUACAAAGUCAGAGUGGAGUAGUUGCAACAGGGAAUACAUGACCUGCAAAGCCUAAAAUAUUUACUAUCUAGUCCUUAAUAUUAAAAAAUUUGCCAAAUCCUGGUUUAGAGAAAUAUGUCCAAACAUCUGUUCCUGGCAUUUGAGGUACUUGUCAGUCUGGGCCCAAUAAAUCCUUCUUGUCUUGUCUGCUCCUGCUCCCCUUCAAGUGCCUCAUGUCCCAACCAAAAGAGAAUCCCAACUUCAUACCUUUUUGGUAGUUUUUGUACUUUUUUUAUUGAAUUCUAACACACAUAUAGAAAAAUACACAUAUUUUAAGUGUAUAGCUUGAUGAAUUUUCACAAUGUAUGUAUCCUAAUAACACCCAAAUUAAGAAACAAUAUUUAUUACCCGUACCCUAGAAGCCCUCCUCAUGCUCAUUUCUAUCCUGAUUUCUAACACUGUAGAUUAGCUGUAGCUCUUUUUGAGUUUAAUAUAAAUACCAAAGUAAGUAUUUCUUUUGUUUGGCUUCUUUUGUUCAACAAUAGGUUUGUGAAAUUCAUCCACAUCAUCACAUGUAGUUGUUGUGUAUUCAUUCCCAGUGCUGUAUUCCAUUUUGUGUUUCAUUAUAUCACAGUUUAUUAAUUCUAUAGUUGAUAGGCAUUUGGAUAGUUUCUAAUUUGGGGCUAUUAUAAACAAUGCUGCCAUAAACACCUUUUUACGUGUCUUGAUUAGCAUAUGUAUGCAUUUCUAUUGGGUUAUUACCUAAGUAUGUCAUUGUUGAGUCAUAGGGUAAAUACUACCAAAAUGCUUUUCAAUAUAUUUAUACUAAUAUAUACUCCUAUCAGGAAUGCUUGAGAAUUCCAGUUGCUAUUCAAAAUCCUGGCCAACAUUUGGGUUCUGGUUGGUGGUGCUUUUUUCUCUUUUAGCAAUUCUGGUAGAUAUAUUACAGAAUCGUGUUGUGGUUUAAGUCUGCAUUUCCUUAAACUCUAAGAGGUAGAGCACCUUUUCAUAAAUAUUGGC
rnacentral:lncRNA from 1 species